UGAGUGAUGGUCAGCAGAAAAAAUCAACCCUGAAUAUUCAUUGGAAGGACUGCUGCUGAAGCUGAAGCUCUAAUACUUUGGCUACCUGAUGCGAAGAGCCGACUCACUGGAAAAAGACCUCUAUGCUGGGAAACAUGGAGGGCACACGGAGAACGGGGCAGCAGAGGAUGAGAUGGUUGGAUGGCAUCACUGACACAAUGGACAUGAAUCUGAGCAAACUCUGGGAGAUGGGCAAUGACAGGUAAGUCUGGUGUGCUGCAGUUCAU